CUCAAGGAAACGCUUUGUCCACGUGGACAGAAAACGCGUCCUUGAGGGCACGCUUUCUGUUUACGUGGACAAAGCACUUCCUUGAGG
rfam:Gossypium raimondii chromosome 1, whole genome shotgun sequence.